rnacentral:rRNA from 1 species
UACGGAGGGGGCUAGCGUUGUUCGGAAUUACUGGGCGUAAAGCGCACGUAGGCGGCUUUGUAAGUUAGAGGUGAAAGCCCGGGGCUCAACUCCGGAAUUGCCUUUAAGACUGCAUCGCUAGAAUUGUGGAGAGGUAAGUGGAAUUCCGAGUGUAGAGGUGAAAUUCGUAGAUAUUCGGAAGAAACACCAGUGGCGAAGGCGACUUACUGGACACAUAUUGACGCUGAGGUGGCGAAAAGCGUGGGGGAGCAAACA